rnacentral:rRNA from 1 species
GAGUAGUGAAAUGCGUUGAUACCCUCGGGAACACCAAGUGGCGUAGNCGGAUCUCUGGGAGAAGAUGGACACUGAGACACGAAAGCUAGGGGAACGAAGCAGAUUAGAGACCUGCGUAGUCCUAGCCGUAAACGCAUGCUUGCUAGCUGCAUGAAUCUACCUUCGGGUGGUAUCGUGUGGCGAAGGUAACCCGUUAAGCAAGCCGCCUGGAAAGUACGGCCGCAAGGCUGAAAUUCAAAGGAAUUGGCGGGGAGGCACACAACCAGUGGAACAUGUGGUUUAAUUCGAGACUAACCGAAGAACCUCACCAGGGUUUGACAUGUAGCUGCACGUCUUAAGAAAUUAAGACUCUCUUGAAGGUGCUACACAGGUGCUGCAUGGCUGUCGUCAGCUCGUUCCGUGAGGAGUGCCCUUAAGUGGGACAACGAGCGCAACCCCUAUUACAUGUUAGAAAUGUCAUGUAAGACUGCCUUGCCAUUUGGCGGGGAGGAAGGAGGGGCAGACGUCAAGUCCGCAUGGUCCUUAUGCCCUGGGCUACACACAUGUUACAAUGAGUACGGCAAUGAGUCUGUCGCGAGCACGUAAGUGUAAGCUAAUCUCUUAAAUGUACUCUCAGUGGGGAUUGAGGUCUGCAACUCGACCUCAUGAACACGGAAUUGGUAGUAAUCGCGGGUCAGCUAUACCGCGGUGAGUACGUUCUUGCCUCUUGCACACACCGCCCGUCAAACCAGCAAAGUCGAUUGUAUCCGAACCU